UUGGCUUAUAAAAGAGAGGCCAGCUCAGUUCCAAGAAAUAAGAAUUGGAAAUGCUGCCAAGUCCAAACAAGAGAGCAGUGAUGCUUUAGAUAAGUUGCUAAGAGAAGCAAGUGCAAUGAAUAACAAUGAAUUCAAAGAGAGUGAGGAUGAACUGAGAAGACAUAUGAGUUAUGCCGAUCAGUUGUUCAAGCUAGCACCAACCACACCUGAAGAAGGUGCAGACAGCAAAUG